UUAAAAAUUUCAACAACGGGAUCUCUUGUGUUCGUGGCAUUGCAUGAAUAACGGAACUCAACUGCAUAUAAGUAAUGUGAAUUGCACAAUCUCGGUGAAUCAACGAAUCGUUGAACGCAAAUUGCGCCCUCUGGUAUUCCGGGGGGCGUGCCUGUUCCAGCGUCA
rnacentral:rRNA from 1 species